rnacentral:rRNA from 1 species
GAGCGGCGGACGGGUGAGUAACGCGUGGGUAACCUACCCUGUACACACGGAUAACAUACCGAAAGGUAUGCUAAUACGGGAUAAUAUAUUUGAGAGGCAUCUCUUGAAUAUCAAAGGUGAGCCAGUACAGGAUGGACCCGCGUCUGAUUAGCUAGUUGGUAAGGUAACGGCUUACCAAGGCGACGAUCAGUAGCCGACCUGAGAGGGUGAUCGGCCACAUUGGAACUGAGACACGGUCCAAACUCCUACGGGAGGCAGCAGUGGGGAAUAUUGCACAAUGGGCGAAAGCCUGAUGCAGCAACGCCGCGUGAGUGAUGAAGGCCUUCGGGUCGUAAAACUCUGUCCUCAAGGAAGAUAAUGACGGUACUUGAGGAGGAAGCCCCGGCUAACUACGUGCCAGCAGCCGCGGUAAUACGUAGGGGGCUAGCGUUAUCCGGAUUUACUGGGCGUAAAGGGUGCGUAGGCGGUCUUUCAAGUCAGGAGUGAAAGGCUACGGCUCAACCGUAGUAAGCUCUUGAAACUGGGAGACUUGAGUGCAGGAGAGGAGAGUGGAAUUCCUAGUGUAGCGGUGAAAUGCGUAGAUAUUAGGAGGAACACCAGUUGCGAAGGCGGCUCUCUGGACUGUAACUGACGCUGAGGCACGAAAGCGUGGGGAGCAAACAGGAUUAGAUACCCUGGUAGUCCACGCUGUAAACGAUGAGUACUAGGUGUCGGGGGUUACCCCCUUCGGUGCCGCAGCUAACGCAUUAAGUACUCCGCCUGGGAAGUA